GGCAGUUCUUGGGUUAUGCACCCCAGAAUCAGGCUCCCUCCUCUCUGGUUCCCUGUGUGUCACCGGAGAACUGCA
rfam:Myotis lucifugus cont2.5001, whole genome shotgun sequence.